AUCCUUUUUGACUCAUAAGUAUGAUGAUUAGGUAUCCAUGCCUUUGGGAGACAUAUGACUCCCACAAACCUGGUUAUGACAUCGGAACGUUACCCAUCUGAGA
rnacentral:snoRNA from 1 species